GGAGACUUUAAUGAGAUCUUGUUCGCAAAUGAGAAGGAGGGAGGACCGGCUCGGGCCCAGCCUUGUAUGGAUGCUUUUCAGAACACCUUGGAGGGUUGUGGUCUCGAGGAUUUGGGCUUUGUUGGGGACCCGUUCACGUGGCUGGAGGGGUAUACUAGGGAGCGGCUGGAUCGAGCAGUAGCAAAUGCGGGUUGGCGUGGUCUCUUUCCUUUCCACAAAAUUAUAAAUGGGGACCCAAGACACUCUGAUCAUCGGCCUAUAAUCGCAGAGCUGAAUGGUAUGUCUGAUCGGUAUGAACAUAUGGCAGGCCCAAAUGUAUUCCGGUUCGAAGCCCGCUGGUUGCAAGAGGAAGAAUGUGUGGGAAGGUUGUAG
rnacentral:rRNA from 1 species